UUUCCACCGAGCAUAUUGAUUUCCAUUUCAAAACUCUCCAUUCUUGAUCUUUUACCUUUCAUUUUCAAUCUGGUUCUCGCACACUAUCCCUUUCUUUUUGUUUUUUUACAUAUUCAGGGACUCUUCCUAUUAGGUAAAUCUCCUUCUUACUCUUCAACGUUUCGACUGCAAUAGAGUGUGCUAGGCUAUUUGUUGUUCGUGGAGUGUAUUCAAAUCUGCAUUUUCUAGAUUUAAACAAGAUCUGUUGAAUAUCAUGUAUAUAUGCACCUAUCAGUGACUUAUCCUGACUGUUCGUCUUGCACUUUUUUAUUAUUGAUAAUGAAUCACCUUCAAUGAUAAUGUUUUUCCAUUUCAUGUCGAUGUCGAGUUGUGUUGCUCUUCGACACGCAAGUGCCUCAGCAGCAAAAGCUAAUGCAACUUGUUAAUGGAUCUCUGAGCAUGCUAAGAGAACCUUGCCUUCACUAUUUCUGACCAUAAUCCCUAGUGCUGAAUGACAAAAUCUCCCAUCAUAUGCUGCAUCAAAGUUGAUCUUCACAAACUAAUCGGGUGGGUGCUUCCAUCUACUGACAACUGGAAAAACUUUGGGGCUUAUCUUUUCAAUCUCAUUUAAUUCUAAAAUAUAACUGUGAACAAAACUCACUAUUUUUUUUUAAAUCUGCUGACUUUUCUGUGCACUCUAGCGUUCCUAUCUCCCCAUAUUGCCAAUAAAACGCAACAAAAAAAUCCUACACUAGAAUGAAGUGUUCUGCUCAAAAACCCAGGUUAGCCGCUGUAAAAACUCCAAAUGAGGUUCUAGUAGAAAAGUCUGACAUGCUAUCUCUCUCAAUACUGAUACUGAAGCAGGACAUUCCCGGCAUAGAUGGUCCAUUGUCUCUGUUCCACUUUCAUACCGGGGGCAUAUCGUAGUGUUUGUUAACUAUCUAUGUUGCAUAUUGACCCGUAUAUGAAGAUAGUUCCAUGAUAUUUUCCAGACUGUAAUUUUUAUUUUUG
rnacentral:lncRNA from 1 species